CCAUAGUGUACUUCGUUAACGACUCAUCUGUUCCAUUUCCAUGCAGAACACUAACACUUUCCCUUCCCUUGACAGACUUCAAAUGUUCUUUGUCAUAGACAACACUCCUAGUUUCAUCAAUAUCCUUUACAGUAAUCACAUUGUUGUCCAGAUUACUUUGACCAUCAAAUUUCUCAUUACUUCCAUUCAACCCAUCAAAAUCCCGAGCCUCAUCACCAUCUGUAGUAUCAACACCAUUCCCGUUGUCACCAUCUUUAGCUUUUUCAUCCGAAAUCUUCAUUAGAACCUUCUUAAGAUCCAACUCAACAUCCAUAGGAACUCCAUCCCCGUCUGAACCCAAAUCACAUUUACUCACCUUACUCUUAACACUACUAACAUCAGUUUCCCUAACUCUCAACAUCCAUAGGAACUCCAUCCCCGUCUGAACCCAAAUCACAUUUACUCACCUUACUCUUAACACUACUAACAUCAGUUUCCCUAACUCUCAACAUCCAUAGGAACUCCAUCCCCGUCUGAACCCAAAUCACAUUUACUCACCUUACUCUUAACACUACUAACAUCAGUUUCCCUAACU
rnacentral:misc_RNA from 1 species